CGAAAUGCAGAUGAGCAGACACGUAAGCAGAAGUUGAAACAAUGCGAAAGUGAAGAUGAAUAAACAAUUGCAGGGAAAAACACUCAUGCAUGUGGCCACAGCGAUAGUUUUGCACAAGUACGUUCAUUUCGCAACAGAUCAUGCACAUAGUCACACCCAUUUACAUAAAUCCAUUCAAGUUUUGUAUAUUCAGUGGCACCAUGCGCAUGAUGCUAUGCUACAUAUACACACACACCUCCCAAAUACAAACAUUCAUCGAUCACCAACAACACAAUGUCUCAGCUCGACCUCAGCGGCUUCCGCAAGAGGAAGAGAGGCGAAAAGGUGUUCAAAUUCAAAGUAUUCGGCGCGCGAGGCUACCCGGCCGGCUCCAACGGCUCCUUCCACGACAACGUCAGAGCCCUCCUCGAGUUCGGCCAGCUCGAGACCAACACCAUGUCCAGCUGGUCCUUCCAGCUCGAGGCACGCCGCCACCCGCUGCUGCUGUUUGUGGUCGAAGAGCCCGCCCUCGACUUCUCCUGCCGCCACUGCCGCUACAUAGGUACACACACGCUUGCUCAUCUGUUAUAUAUAUCUCUAACAAGACUAAUGUUUCUUCGUUAUUACAAUCUUACAUAGCUCAGGUUGGGGGCAUCACAUGAUCUGCAAUAAGAGCUAUCAUUUCGUGCUGCCGUCUGACGAUUACGCCAAACCAACGCCAUCGACUUGCAUAGAGACACCCACAUCCUGCAUGCUGUCCUCCACUCCAAUGGAUUCGGUCAUCUCCUCUGCAUCAACGCCUCCGCCCUGCCCGGCUACCAGAUCAUGGACUUCUGGGACCGCUUGUGCUCCGGUUUAGGAGCUAGGU
rnacentral:lncRNA from 1 species